UACGUAGGGUGCGAGCGUUAAUCGGAAUUACUGGGCGUAAAGUGUGCGCAGGUGGCCGCGCAAGUCGAGUGUGAAAUCCCCGAGCUUAACUUGGGAAUUGCGCUCGAAACUACGUGGCUCGAGUGUGGCAGAGGAAGGUGGAAUUCCUGGUGUAGCGGUGGAAUGCGCAGAUAUCAGGGGGAACACCAAUAGCGAAGGCAGCUCGCUGGGACGGUACUGACGCUAAGGCGCGAAAGCGUGGGGAGCGAACAGG
rnacentral:rRNA from 1 species